UACGUAGGUGGCAAGCGUUGUCCGGAUUUACUGGGCGUAAAGAGCGCGCAGGCGGUCGUUCAAGUCGCGUGUGAAAGCCCCCGGCUCAACUGGGGAGGGUCACGCGAUACUGCUAUGGCUAGAGUCCGGUAGGGGACCACGGAAUUCCUGGUGGUAGCGGUGAAAUGCGCAGAUAUCAGGAGGAACACCGGUGGCGAAGGCGGAUGGUCUGGGCCGGCACUGACGCUGGAGGAGCGAAAGCGUGGGGAGCGAACAGG
rnacentral:rRNA from 1 species